AACGCUAGCUACAGGCUUAACACAUGCAAGUUGAGGGGCAGCAUGGUCUUAGCUUGCUAAGGCCGAUGGCGACCGGCGCACGGGUGAGUAACACGUAUCCAACCUGCCGUCUACUCUUGGACAGCCUUCUGAAAGGAAGAUUAAUACAAGAUGGCAUCAUGAGUCCGCAUGUUCACAUGAUUAAAGGUAUUCCGGUAGACGAUGGGGAUGCGUUCCAUUAGAUAGUAGGCGGGGUAACGGCCCACCUAGUCUUCGAUGGAUAGGGGUUCUGAGAGGAAGGUCCCCCACAUUGGAACUGAGACACGGUCCAAACUCCUACGGGAGGCAGCAGUGAGGAAUAUUGGUCAAUGGGCGAGAGCCUGAACCAGCCAAGUAGCGUGAAGGAUGACUGCCCUAUGGGUUGUAAACUUCUUUUAUAAAGGAAUAAAGUCGGGUAUGUAUACCCGUUUGCAUGUACUUUAUGAAUAAGGAUCGGCUAACUCCGUGCCAGCAGCCGCGGUAAUACGGAGGAUCCGAGCGUUAUCCGGAUUUAUUGGGUUUAAAGGGAGCGUAGAUGGAUGUUUAAGUCAGUUGUGAAAGUUUGCGGCUCAACCGUAAAAUUGCAGUUGAUACUGGAUAUCUUGAGUGCAGUUGAGGCAGGCGGAAUUCGUGGUGUAGCGGUGAAAUGCUUAGAUAUCACGAAGAACUCCGAUUG
rnacentral:rRNA from 1 species